ACGUCGUCUUUUGAUUCCAACGUUUCUCUUGUGUUAUAAAUUGUAAAAUGUCUGGGAACGUUUUAACCAUUGUAUCAAAGUUCUGCAAUGAGUAUGCAGAGACUACGUCGAAGAGAUUAAAACUGAUAGAUGCAUAUCUGAUGUACGUAAUGCUCACCGGCAUUAUUCAGUUCGUGUAUUGUUGCUGGGUUGGCACGUUUCCCUUCAAUUCUUUCCUAUCAGGAUUCAUUUCAUGUGUUGCUUCAUUCGUAUUAGCAGUAUGUUUGAGAGUACAAGUCAACCCACAGAAUAAAAAGGAAUUUCAAGGAAUCAGCCCAGAGAGAGCAUUUGCAGACUUCACCUUCGCUCACGUAGUAUUGCACCUUGUCGUGAUGAAUUUCAUUGGAUGAACUAUUAGUAGAUACAUGAAUUAUUCUCAAUUUCAUUCUAUGGAACCUCGUGAAUGGAAAAACAACAGAACAGAACAGCAGCCAGAACAUUUCUUUUUUCAUCCAGACUUGGGAUUCACCAAAUAUCAAAACAAUGGAACUAGAGUGUCUAUGACUGUAGCAAUAGGAUUGUGAUUCCUACUACUUUAGAAUCAGUGUUGCAGUUGGAUAAUAUAUGCUUAAGAUUGUAAAUUUCUAUAAAGCAUUCCAGGAUAUAAAUAAAAAAUAUUUCCUGUAGCAUUGAUGGAUUUAAUAAGAAACACACUUUUAUAUCAUGACAAUAAAUAAAUCUGUGCAUGUAUAUUGUGUAA